CGGACGUUGCUUUCCCGCGCUUUGUUUAAUUACGCUGCUAUAAGAAAUUGUUCUAUAAAGAAGCCAUUCGAUUGAUUUUAUUAUUAUUAUUAUUUCUUGAUGUCGGUAUGCAAGAAAAAGAUUCUGUCACUGGUUAUAGCAAUCAAUAACAAUAUGCAUUUUAGAUGUUCGUUUCUAAUUGAAAAAAACUAACAAUUCGCACAUUUAAAUAUGUGCCGCACCGUUAACGCAACAAAUCAGUAUAGUAACACUUCUUUAUUACUGUUUAUAAUUUUUUCGUUAUUCCAGUGAAUGUUGAUUUCCACUACAGGCUUUUCGAUUUGCCGUCUGCUAAAA